GGGGAGUCCGGCCGCAAGGAAGAACCUCAAAGGAAUUGACGGGGGCCCGCACAAGCGGUGGAGCAUGUGGUUUAAUUUGAAGCUACGCGAAGACCCUUACCAGGUCUUGACAUACUAUGCAAAUCUAAGAGAUUAGACGUUCCCUUCGGGGACAUGGAUACAGGUGGUGCAUGGUUGUCGUCAGCUCGUGUCGUGAGAUGUUGGGUUAAGUCCCGCAACGAGCGCAACCCUUAUUAUCAGUUGCCAGCAUUAAGUUGGGCACUCUGGUGAGACUGCCGGUGACAAACCGGAGGAAGGUGGGGAUGACGUCAAAUCAUCAUGCCCCUUAUGACCUGGGCUACACACGUGCUACAAUGGAUGGUACAACGAGUUGCGAACUCGCGAGAGUAAGCUAAUCUCUUAAAGCCAUUCUCAGUUCGGAUUGUAGGCUGCAACUCGCCUACAUGAAGUCGGAAUCGCUAGUAAUCGCGGAUCAGCAUGCCGCGGUGAAUACGUUCCCGGGCCUUGUACACACCGCCCGUCACACCAUGAGAGUUUGUAACACCCAAAGUCGGUGGGGUAACCUUUUAGGAACCAGCCGCCUAAGGGGACAGAGAUUGG
rnacentral:rRNA from 1 species